GGCCAAAUAGUAUAGUGGUAGUAUAGCUGCUUUGGGUGCAGCUGACCCGGAUUCGAUUUCCGGUUUGGCCC
rnacentral:tRNA from 1 species